rnacentral:rRNA from 1 species
UACGAAGGGGGCUAGCGUUGUUCGGAAUUACUGGGCGUAAAGGGCGCGUAGGCGGUGGAUCAAGUCAUCUGUGAAAUCUCCGGGCUUAACUCGGAACUGUCAGAUGAUACUGUUUUGCUAGAGUACAGAAGGGGCAAUCGGAAUUCUUGGUGUAGCGGUGAAAUGCGUAGAUAUCAAGAGGAACACCUGAGGUGAAGACGGGUUGCUGGGCUGAUACUGACGCUGAGGCGCGAAAGCUAGGGUAGCAAACGGG